ACUCCGCCCCUGCAGGAAGGACCCCGCGCCGCCUUAUGAUUGGCCGCGGGGUGGCGCCGAUCCUUUUCUCUUCCGGUCGCAGGAGCUGCUGCCGCCGCCAUGAAUGACACAGUGACUAUCAGAACCAGGAAGUUCAUGACCAACAGACUUCUGCAGCGCAAGCAGAUGGUGAUUGAUGUUCUUCAUCCUGGGAAGGCCACAGUCCCCAAAACAGAAAUCAGGGAAAAGCUGGCAAAAAUGUACAAGACAACCCCUGAUGUAAUUUUCGUCUUUGGCUUCAGAACUCACUUUGGUGGUGGCAAGACAACCGGUUUUGGCAUGAUCUAUGAUUCCCUGGACUAUGCAAAGAAAAACGAACCAAAGCACAGGCUUGCCAGGCACGGCUUGUAUGAAAAGAAAAAGACUUCCAGGAAGCAGCGAAAAGAGCGUAAGAACAGAAUGAAGAAAGUCAGGGGCACAGCCAAGGCAAAUGUUGGUGCUGGCAAGAAGAAGGUAAACUAUGUGUUGUAUAGCUUGUCAUCAGCUCAGUAGCUUAGUUGUGCUCCUCACUGCUGCCAGCCUAGCUGACUUGAUAUGAAACAAUGCUUCCUAAAUUACUGUUUCCUAUGUCACUUGAACUAAAGUUAAACUUCAUAAAUCUAACAGUACUGCUCUAAUCACAUAACUCAGCAAUACACACAUUAGAUAAUGUUAACACUUACCACUCAGGCUGCCUAAACCCUUAAUGCUUACUCCACCAAGUUACUGUUGGUAUGGUGUUACCCAGGUAAGUUUAGUGAGGAUGUGAGCUGUAGGAAGUGAGCACUGUGUGUAAAUAGAAAUAAGGUGGAAUGCCUUGGGGUUUGAGGGACUGAUGCCCACAGUAGUGCACUCUUUCUCUGUGAGGCUGGAAUGAUGCAGCCCUCCUGGGCUGUGGCUAGGACCUGAUACAAGCAGGUUGGAGGGAGGCAGAUUUCCUUUUCAUGAAACAGAACCAGAGCUGAGGAACAAGUUGGGUGGGAAGCUAGUCACUUACCUUCUCAUUGUUCCAUCUUCUGAUAAAUACUGAAUAAGCUGUGCAGGCUAGUGGGGUUUUUUUUUUUUUUUUUUUCCAGAUGUUUUAACAAGGGGAGAGAGGGUAAUUUGUUUUAAUGCUUAGUUCUGUAGCUGUGAAAAUACCUUGAUAUCUUGAACUUUAGUAAUCUUCACUUUUGCUUUUUUCCUACUUUCUUGGAACUCUCCAUCAGAAAUGAAGUAUCUGCAGGUACUGGAAAUGAGCAUGGAUUUGGUGCCUGAAUUAUGCAUCACUGAAAUGUGUCUAUCAUUUUAAUUGAAGCACUGUACUGCCUUGUAUGCAUGUUUGAUUUAAACUUUAGUUCUGUCAUGUGGGGGUUCGAUUAAUUACGUAAUGCAUUUUAUUCAUGUGACAUGGAAGUAAAAUUUGGCUAGUAGCAAACAAGACUUUUUGAAAUUAGUGAAUCAACUUCAAAAUAGUUCCCAGUGAGGAGAAAUCAAGAAACCCAAUGUUGUUGACAUGAGGCAUUGGUUCAGUCACCACAGGAUCUGAAUCAAAGUAGUACAGUGCAAUUGCAUGUGUAACUUGACCAUUGUGUGAAAGUAGUGGUGUACAUGAAGGCUAAGUCACAUCACACUUGGUGCAUUUGAGAUGGUGCUUGGAAAUGACAGUUGUCAGCAUUGAAGUGUAUUUAACUAUUGCCCUGCAAUACUCCCAAGUUAGGAUACAAAUUACAAUGGAAUUGGAAAUCUCAGUGACGUUAGAUAUUGUAGGUAGUGUGGAAGUGAAGUUCUUGUUAUGCCUGGAUGGAAAGGAACCAGUGUUACUGACAGUUACUAGAUCAGGGAACUAUUCUAUUAGAAAACAUUAGGAGCUUUCUUCCUUUGUGCUUUAAUGCACAAUCAUGAAGUCCUACAAUGGUUUGUUUAUGGCAGUGAGCUUUUGAUAUAGUAGUAACACCUAAUGUACACACUUCUGUCAAUGGCAAAGGAGUAAUUUUGUGUUGCACCAAUCCUGGUAGUAUGGAGGAACUUAAGACUUCUGCACCUGGAGGUGUUGUGGAGUGCAAAUGGAAAGUGAUCAAAUGACUCACUUGAAUUAUUAGUGGUGUCCAGUUCAUAGAAGCUUUCUUAAAGCAUAUCAACAGUUCAGAAAUUGAAGGCAAGGAUCCUGCCCUGUGGUAAUUAUGUAGGAGAUGUGACUUCUGUAUUGAGUGCAUGUCAAACUAACAUGCAAUCUUAGUAGUAGGUGAACUGUGUUUUUGGUUAGAGAUAUUUUGAUGUCUUUGAAAAUGAUCGUUCAGUUGAUAACUAUGCAUGGGUUAGAUGUGACUUGUUUACCAGAUGUGUUAAUCUUUGUUGUUGUCACUUAAGAUUAAUUAUUUUGUGCAUUUCCUAAACAACUUACUUGACAACAAUUCUGUGCUGCGUUAUAGAAAAAUAUUUGGGAAAUACACUAAGCUUUGCCUUCAGAAAUGCAUGUUCUAAGAUCAUAUUGUGGUAUGGUUCAUCAUCCUUAUCACAGCUAUAUGGAGGAAUUUUUAAUAGGAGCCCUGGAAUACAUUUCUGCGUCCACCUGCAGAAUCUGUGAGAAUUGUUUUAUUUUGUAAAUGUGUCUACUUGAUUCUGAGAAAUGUUCAGGCAAGUGUAUAUUAUUCUAAAAGUUACAUAUGAUGUAGUUAUGAAAAAUUCAGACAUAACUAUGCUGAUGUCUUGUUUAGUUUUCUUUGAUGCUUCCUUUCACUUCUUACUCCUUUAGAAUUCCCAUUCUGUUUUCCGUGCAGUUUCAAGGGAAGUGCUUUAAAGAAUUUUUUAAACAUAUUCUGUUGCUCUAGAGUUUGAGCUUGCUAAAAUUUGCAACAAGUAUAUGUGGAUGUGCCUCACCUGGUUGGUUGCAUUCAAAAUCGUGGUACUGAAAUGCAAAAAAAACCCACCCUCCCUUUUAAUGUCACAGCUGUAGCUGUGACAGCCUUUGACAGGUGAGGCUGUCAAACAGAGGUGUGCAUGGAUAAGCACUUUGAAGCCAUUGUAGCCUGUAGGUCUAAUUGAACAUGCAGUUAGUUGCAUUCUGAGCAUUAGUUAAGCUCUAAAUAGCUGUUGAGUUUAAGGGAGUGAGUGAAAUCUAAGUCUUCAGUCUCUGCAGUAGUCAAAAUUUCAAGGGUUUGCUAUCACAUUUCAGUGUGGUUAAUGGAAAGAAGAACUUUGAGUGUCACUAAAAUCCCUCAAAGCUCGAUUUUCUACAGGAGUAGAAUUUGGAUGAAAUCCUUACUAAUUGAUGCUUUCUGUUUUUCAGUAAAUGAACAUUCUUCGGGUGGAAAAUGGAAAACAGGCAGCAUCAUUCUAUGAAGAAGUAUAGAAUGAAUUGCUCUGGAGGGCAGAAGCUGCUCAUCUGACUAACAUCAAAUAAACUCUUGUCAAUAAAAUACUGGCUUGCUUUUUAAUUUUGAUUUGAAAGCUACCCUUUUGUAAAGUUUGAGAAAUUCAGUACAGGUGUACUGUUUUCACUGGAUUAAAAUCUUUUCAUAACUGACCAA